rnacentral:rRNA from 1 species
AUGUACUGUACCUUUGAUGUAUUUCCAUGUGAGGGAACAUUUGAAGGAUGUACUGUACCUUUGAUGUAUUUCCAUGUCAUGGGGAAGCAUAAGCUCACUCUGAAGACCGAGGAGGACUCCAAUCCUCGUGAUAAGUACAUAACUUGGACUGACGAGGCGACAAGGUUUAUGCUUGAAUGGUAUAUCGACCUUCGUAAGGACAAACCUGCAACUUUCAAGUUCAAGAAACAACACCACUUGCAAUGUGCUGAUGCUCUAAAUGGCAAGUUUUCGCUUGGUGUCACUCAAACCCAAGUGGAUCGACACUAUCGUCAAUGCAAGGAGAAGUGGGGCUGGAAAACUGCAGUCAAUUAUCUUACCAGACCCAUUAGGUUCUUUCAUCAAUUGGAAGAGUUAUUCUCGGAUCAAUCUCAUGCUGAUGGCUCACUCGCAGUUGACCAAACCACUGUCAAUGUGGAUGAUGGUAGUGAUGACAGCGAGGAUGUGAGGGAACUUGAGGGAAAUCUAAUUCCAGCAGACAGUGAUGAAGCUGACUCUGACACUAUUGAUCUUCGCAGUCCUAAAGUCGACUUGGAUGGCAAUCCAUUAAACAAGAAGCGCAAGUGUGCGUCAUCAUCACCUUCCAAGAAGCCAACCAAGGGCAAAGCAAACAAGAAGGGCAAGGUACCUAAUGAUGAUAUGGUAACCAGUAUCAAGAAGCUAGCUGAAUCCCUUGCAUCCCCUAUUGUGUCUGUGCAACCAAUGCCACCUGCAGAUCCUUAUGCAAAUCUUUGGAAGCGGAUCAAUGCCCUUACCAUCCCAGCUAAGGAUAAACUUGAGAUUGUUGCCUAUCUAUCCAAGCCAGACCAAGAUAUCUUUCGUAGUUAUCUUAACUAUGCCGAUGAAACAAUUCUUCGAGAGUGGGUCAUUAGCUACUUUGAGCCUCAGUUUCAUGAAGGUGGCAAUGAUGGAUCUGCGGCUGCUCACUGA